AAUGGGAAGAUCUGAAACUCUCCUUAGCUUGUCAUCAGAAUUCUAUGGUUGUUAAUGAUCUCAGGAAAUACCGGACUCCCAGAAUACAUAAUACCAGAGGUGAAGAAAGACACUACCUGGUUCUGUUCUUUGUUCCUUCCUUUAUAUAGUGAAGAAAGUGUGACGGCAAAACCAUAGAGACCUGUUAGUCACAGAGUAUCUUAGAGGAGUUAUUAAAACCAAGCACCCAAUGAAGUUUCUAUCCAUUUGUGUGAACAUUCAUAUGGUCCUCGUCUGCUUCCUGCUACAAUCUUGUGAAGAGCUACAUGGAUCCUCUGCAUUCAGGAGAGCACCACACUUGUUUCCUCAUUGAUGACAUCAUUUAUUUGGUCUUGAUGAACAGGAAGCAAAUUCUAGAGUGGAAGAGCCAAAGAUCCAUGGGGCCCCAGGAAUGAGAGGAAUCUCAGAGGUACCCAAGAGAUCACAAGAAGUGUAUGAUGGAGCUUGGUACAGUAUCCUGACAGAUAGAAAUAAAGUGAAUAGAGGGGACAUGGACCUUCCCCAACCAGGAAGAAGAUUGACUGGAAACAUGAUGUCUGCUUCAUCUUAUUGUUCCUGUAAUGCUUAACUUGUAUUUAUUUUCAAUUUUA